rnacentral:lncRNA from 1 species
UCUUAGAAGAUUGUUGGAAAAUUAUUAAAAUUCUAAUAUGUAGAAGAGAUAUCGAUCUAAGUAGUUAAUACUAGAAUGCCUCUUCACUUAUGGUACGUUUACUUCAUGGAAUGAGAAUGAGGUGUAAUGAGAAUGGGCUAAGAAUGGGAAUUGGCUGGAAUGAGAAUUAGAUUUCAAUGUUUACUUGGUAAAAGUAAAUAGGAAUGGGAAUGUGCUGGAAUAUCAUUGAUGUAUUUACUUAGCAAAAAAAAUGGGAAUGAGGAAUGGGAAUGAGAAUCAAUUUAUCAAAAUAUCAAUAGUAUUAAUAAUUAAUAAAAAAUAAUUAAAUUAUUAUUAUUAAUAAUAUUAUCAUUAUUGUUGUUAUUAUUACUAUUAUUAUUAUUAUUAAAAAUAAUAUUAACAAUAAUUAAUAAUAACUAAAAUAAUAAAGUUAAUAAAAUUUAAUAAUAAUAUUAUUAUUCUUAUUCUUAUUAAAUUUUAUUAACUUUAUUAUUUUAGUUAUUAUUAAUUACUGUUAAUAUUAUUUUUAUUAAUAUUAUCAUUAUUAAUAUUUAUUAUUAGUAUUAUUAUUAUAUUUUAUUAAAUUUAUUAUUUUUGUUAUUAUUAAUUAUUGAUAAUAUUAUUUUUAUUAAUAUUAUCAUUAUUAACAUUUAUUAUCAUUAUUGUUAAAUUUUAUUAACUCUAUUAUUUUAUUUAUUAUUAAUUAUUUUUUAUUAAUAUUAUCAUUAUUAACAUUUAAUAAUAUUAUUAUUAAAUUUUAUUAACUUAUUAUUUUUAGUUAUUAUUAAUUACUGUUAAUAUUAUUUUUAUAAAUAUCAUCAUUAUUAACAUUUAUUAUUAUUAUUAUUAUUAUUAUUAAAUUUUAUUAACUUUAUUAUUUUAGUUACUAUUAAUUAUUGUUAUUAUUAUUUUUAUUAAUAUUAUCAUUAUUAACAUUUAUUAUUAUUAUUUUAAUUAAUUUCAUUUUUAUAUCUAGAUAAUGAAAAUUACAUUAUUAUUAUCAUUAUUAUUAAAUUUUAUUAACUUUAUUAUUUUAAUUAUUGUUAUUAUUAUUUUUAAUAAUAAUAAUAAUAAUAAUAAUAAUAAUAAUAAUAACAAUAAUGAUAAUAUUUUUAAUAAUGAUAAAUUAAUUAUUUUUGUUAAUUAUUAUUUUUAUCAUUAUUUUUAUUGUUAAUAAUGAUGAUGAUAAUAAUAAUAAUAAAAAUAAUAAAAAUAAUUAAUAAUAACUAAAAUAAUAAAGUUAAUAAAAUUUAAUAAUAAUAAUUAUUAUUAUUAUUAUUAAUGGUAUUUAAAAUAAUAAAAUUAAUUGUGAUUUGAAUGAGGGUAAUUUGGGAAAUAUGAAAAAAUUAAAGGGAUACAACAGUAAACAUAUAUUCCAUUCUCAUUCCCUCAUUGUCAUUCCCAACCCCCCAUGGGAAUGAGAUUCCCAUUUCUUAUUCCCAAUUUGUGUGGAACCCAUACAUUUUAUUCUCAUUCUCAAAUUACAUUUUACCAAGUAAACAUGAGUUUCAUUCUCAUUCCCUAUUUCAUAAAGUAAACACAUCAUUAAUUGAAUACAUCAAUUAACUCCAUAUGUAAAUAUAUCUUCAAUAUUUUUUAAUUGUAGAUUGAUUCAAUUUGGCUACAACUUGCCAAAUUGACAAAUUGAAUUUAGAAUGAAUAAUCAAUUUUAGUGGGCAACAAAAUCUUCAUGCAUGCAUGGCAACAACCUGUCAAAUAUUUGUGCCACCAACGUCCAAUUUGUCAAGAAAAACCGUGUGGAAAAAUAAGCUUUGGUGGGCUGACGUUUCAACAGUGCACGACGGCGACAUAAAAUUGCUACUUCAACUUCCGUGUGGAAAACAAAAGAUUGCUACUUGUACACGACGGCGACAUAAAAUAAAUUGAGAAACCUUCCCAGAUUCAUCAGAGGAAAUUUACAUUUCGACUUUAAUUAGAUAUUCUAAGGUCUUAGUCACUAAAGUCUCUUCAGGUCAAACUCAUCAAUGAAAAGGGAUAUUCUACAGGCUGCUCAAUCCUAGGAAAAUCGUGAAGGAACUUAUGAUUCUAGAUGAUGAUGAUGAUGAUUUCUUUUUCUUUUCGUAAAUGGAUAAGAUUCAAAAUGAGAAACCUGAAGGGCGGUUUCUAGAAUUUCAAACAAAAAAAUUAUGUUAAUAGAAAAAAUAUUCUGCAUCAACUGAGAAUAUUACAAAACUCUUUAGUUUCUAAAUAUGAGUUUGCUCAAUAAUUGACAUACAAAAAUGAAGAUAAAAUUGGGAACACAAACGACUAGAAUAAUGACAUGGGUAUAUAUAUUUUUAUCAAUUAAUUAGUCUUUUUAGUUAUUUUCCAAAAACAUUAGAGGUAAUUAAUUUUUGCUUGACCAAGUGGUUUUAAAGAGUUUAAUUCAUUAAUUUGACUUGGUCCGAUUACCUACCUAUUUGGAGGGGAAAAGAAAAUAAAAAAGGAGAGGUUUGUACUUUAGUUAAUUUUGGAGGGGUAAAAAAAUAAAAAAGGAGAGGUUUGUACUGUACUUAAUUUUUUUUCACAACGUUGAUGCGUGUAUCCUUGCGGAGGUAAUAAUUAAUAGGGUAAGACUAUUUGAAUCCACAAUAAUAUUGUUGACACCCAUGUUUUUGUAAUUUUUUUAUUACUUUAAUAGCCUUAAGUGAAAUUACUCGAAAGUUAAAAGGACAAAAUAGAUUAAAAUAGCAUAUACACCCAACCUAUCACGAUUCAUAAAUCUACCUAUUUUCUUUUCAUAAAUGUUUUAUUCAAAGUAAGAGGGAAAGUUUCAUGAUAUUAAACUUGCUAAUUAAUUAUGUAUUCAAGUGUAAUCUCUGCGUUUCUGGUAACUAGUCUGAUAAUCAGUGUCCCUAGUUGUGCAUUUGGAGUAAAGAUACAGGUGCAGAAGGAAAGGCUGCGCAAAUAUAGUUCUUUGAUCUUUUCAUGCUUUUAAAGUUACAAAAUUUAUAUAUGAGUUGAUAAAGAAUGAAUUUUCUCUUUUUCAGUAUUUACAUUACAUCACUGUCGUUUCCAGUUCAAAUCGUGCAGCUCGACAUGAAUUAUCUUUUUCCUUUCUUUUUUUUCUCUUUAAUCAAGUGAUGGCAAGCAACUCAAAGUUCUGUUGAAUUUUCGGAUGAUUUGAAAGAGUUUUAUGGUCAUUUCUACUUCUAACUUUUCAUAAACAGCAAUUUGUCUUAAUGGAAAGGGGAAAAAAAAUUCUUCAUGCGUGGGUUUGAGAAGAAAGAAGAAAAAUGAAUAAAGGAGUAAAUUGGAAUUACAUUUAAAAUUUAAUGGGUUUUAAAAGUAAAAAUGUGAUUUUUAAAAUUUCAUGAUGGGUGUAUUGAGAAAUUGGGUGGAGAGAGUAUUUUUGUGGGUUCAAAUAGCCCCACCCUAAUUAAUAACAAGUCAUAACUAGUCAUGAUCCAAUUGGAAGGGGAAACUAAUUUCCAAGAACAUGCAAUGAUCAAAUCAAAUAGACCAAAAGCUCUAGACGACCAGGUAUUAUAUUUUUUUACUAAUAGUUAAUUGUUAACUGAAACUGAUGAUCAAGUUAAAUAUUAUCAAAAAGGGUUUACUGACAUAGGUCCAUUCUUCAGUCAACUUGUUAUCUUUGAAGACUAAGUUAAUUUGCUAUAUAAAGGAUUUGUUGCAAUGGUACAUGUAUCAACUUGAUUUCUUGCCUUAUUGUUUUGUAUUAAUAUUUGUGAAAGCUAACAGACCAGAUCAUAUAUAUAUAUAUAUAUAGAUAUAUAGCUGACGGCGGACAAUGCCAGAACCGGUUACGAUAACGGCAACGGCAGUGGGAGGUCUCUUAGCAGGGGCCAUUCUAGGUGUUGCGCUUCAAGAGAUCAUGGUGGCGAUUAAAGAAUCAAAGUCAAGGUGCAGCAACUUCAGAGACGCCCUAAAUAGCCUUGAAAACACCAUCAACCUGUUAAGUCCUUUGAUCAAAGAAAUGGAUAGGUUAAAUCGAGAGCUGGAGGACUCUAAUAAAAGAGAAGAGAUCAUUCGUUUGUUUCUUCAACAGCUGAAGAAAGCGGAAGCUCUGGUUUCAAAGUGCUCAAGCAUCCGUCGCUGGAACUUGUACAAGAAGAGGAAAUACGAAAAAAGGCUUCGGAAUAUGGAUUCUUCUCUUCGUGACCUUUCCGCAGUGCUCCAGGUUGGACAAGCGCUUGAUACCCAGCGCCUUCAACGUAUAAUACAAGAUAUGUAACACUAAUUAAUUAAGGGCGCCGGGCACGAUUGCUUUUGUUAUGCCCAGCCGAUGGGUUGCCGCAGCCUAGCUGUUGGGGCCUGUGAGUGCUGAUAUUUAAAAAAAAAUAAAAUUAACAAAUAAAAUUAUGACACUGUGGGUGUUAAAGAAAAAAUAAUUAAUUAAUAAUAUAACUCUGCAAGGUAUGAUAGUUCAUUAUUUUGUUGGCUUUUUAUCAGCCUUUAGUCUCUUUAGAUGUGGUUUUUUUUUUUUAAUUUCAUCUAUGUUUCUAAACAAAAAAUGUAUAUACGAACUAGUAAUUGUUUUUACCAAUCAUCUUUUCUAAUCAUCUAUGAACUUUUCUUUGAUAGAUGUAGUUUUUAAUCCAUUUAGAGGCCACAUUACCUCACUACCAAACCGGAUUAAAUUAAAUCUCAGACAUGCAUGCAUUUAAUUGGUCUAAUUCUCUAAAGAUUAUGCUAUGACUAUGAAAAAUGUCGUGAGAAAGAGAGUUUAGGGUAUAGGGUUGAUUCCAACGCAAGUAAUGGUAAUGCAUAUCGAAUUUUUAUGUUAUAAUAUGGAAAAAAAAGUUUUUUAUAUUAAAAAAUUAUCAAUAUAGAUUUUUUAAAUUUAUUUUUUUUAAAUUUAAACAUACGCAUACUGCAUGGGACUUUUGACAUGCAGCCUACCCCAGUCAACUCAUUUGAUUAUACAUAACUUGAUCGCUUGAUCUGCAAGUUAUAUUGUCCUCUCAAAUUAUUUAUAAAAAAAAAAUGAUCUGCAAGUUUCAAUUAACUAUUAGUAAUAGCAUCCAUUCGUCUAGAACUCGGCAUAUUGAUUUCAUCAUUGCAUGUUCUUAGAAAUUUCAUCAUGACUAGUUAGUAGUUAACUAACCACCUUCAAAGAAAGAGUAGUAUGUACAAAAGAACAAAAGGGAGGACAAAAACGAUAAAAGAUAAAAUAAAUAAAUAAAAAGACAAAUCGUUACUUUAAACUAGUUGAUUGUGCGUACACAUGUCAUUAUUCAAUUGGAUCAUGUCCUCCAUUUGCUCUCCAUUUUUGUACAUCAAUUAUGGGCUAAGGCUUCAAGCUAAAUAUUUUAUUGAUAAAAACCAAGACUAUCAUGCAAUUUAUAUAUAAAUGGUUAGAUUUAAAACCAUUAUAUAUAUAUAUAUAAGAAUAUUUACAGUAUCAUAAAAGUGCACAUCCGUUCAAAAAUUCUGAGCGGAUGUCUGUUUCUGUAUAGAGUUAAAAGAACAAGUGAAGCAAUUAAACCCAAUUGCAACAUUCAACCUGUCAUCAAUCAAGUAAAUUACCGGCUCAUUGCUUAAUCUUUAAUUUUUAUUUCCCAUUCCAGUAUUAAAGAUUAAUUCUACUUCCAUACUUGGUCAAAAGAGGAAAAAAAAUGCUACUUGUACAUGAUGGCGACAUAAAAAAAAAAUUGAAAAUUUGUUCCUAAUUCUCAUCUGAGGAAAAAUGACAUGUUGGCUUUAAUUAAAUAUUGAAUAAUAUUACUGUCUUUUUAGUAGUAUCUCAAUCUCGAUACCAUUGCGAUGCUUAUUUAAAAAGUUUAUAGUUAAUCAAUUAAUUAUUUUUAUUUUUAUUUUAUUAUUAUUAUUAUUAUUAUUAUUAUUAUUAUUAUUAUUAUUGAAUAUCUGGAUAAGUACGCUUUAUAUAUGGUGGUUUCAGAUUUCAGUCGCCAAAUUCUCUGCACGUGUGAUUCAUCAAUGAAAAUGGAUAUUCCACAGGCGGCUCAGUCCGAGGAAAAUUGUGAAGGAAGUUAUAGUUCUAUAAUAAUAAUAAUUAUUAUUAUUAUUUCUUUUUCUUUUUGUAAAAUGGAUGAGAUUCAAAUUGAAAAUCUUGAUGGUCAGUUUCUGGAAUUUCAAAUCAAAGAGAUGAGUGUUGAUAGGGAAAAUGUUCUACAUUAACUGAGAAUAGUUACAAAACUCUUGAGCUAGUUAUUAAGUAUAAAUUAGCCGAAUGAUAGACAUACAAAAUUGGAGACAAAAUCAGGAAUAUGAAUCAAUAGAGCAAUAGCAUGUACCAAUAUUAUGAUAAAUUAGUUAAAUAAAGUAAAUGAUUUGUCUUUUAAUUACUUUUAAAAAGUAUAUAUUGAAUAGAUUUUGGGGGUUAAAAUGUUAUAAUUGCUUUAACUUAUUAAAAAAAAGUUAUUGUUUCAUCUAAUUGAAAGAUAAAUAUGUCAAUGCAUUAUAGAAUUAGGAUCCUCUCCUUUUUUUUUUUUCUUCUCUCUCCUUGCUUCUCCUUGCCUUCAUAAUCUAAUAAAAAAAAACUAGCUUGAUUGUAAAUAAAGUGAAAAAGGCAAACACAAAACUCAAUCUUAACCACUCACUAUAUAAGGACAAGCAAUGACAGAAAACAAGAGAAGAAGAGGAUCCUUCUCCUAUAUUAAAACAUCGAUUGUCACUGGUAGUAUUAUAAAGUUAAAAUGACAUAUAGUAUAAUUAAUUUAACAACAUUUUCAUAAUUUUAUGAUUUCUUUUCUUUACAGUCAUAUAUUCUCUUUUUCUAUUUAUUACAUCAAAUUAUUUAAAUAUGUCACAUUCUCUAUUAAUAAAAUAAAAAAGAAUUGCAUAAAUAAUUUUUCAUUGUACAAUUUUAAUAAUUUAUAUUAUUAUAAGCUUAUUGUUGCAUUAAUGUUGUUAUUUAUUAAGUAUAUGUACUUCGCUAAGAGCUUUGAUGCCGUGUUACUCGAUAUAUGUGUUUAUUUUUUACUCCUCUACAUAUACCGACACUCACAUAAAUACUUAAAAUAAAUAUAUAAAUUUAUCUAGACUAAUUAAAAGUCUUGGGUCCUGUUUAGUUAAUUUGUUGUCUUUGAUGCCUUAAUUUGCUAUAUAAAGGAGUAGUUGCAAAUGUGGCCCAGCUCAUUUGACAUUCUCCUACUUGGAGAUUAAAUUGAGAACCAAUCAAUUUUCACACCAUCUUUUCUACUUCGCCAUUGUCAUGUUGCUUACGUUUCUGCUAGGCUACAAAAGAAUCUACUCCAUACAAAUUUAUCAGUAUUUAUCGGUUUAGUCAAAACAUCUGCUAGGUUCUCCUUCGUAUGGAUUUUCUAUAAAUCCAUACUUCCAUCUUCUACUACUUCUCGAACGAAGUGAUACUGAACUCCUAUGUACUUCAUUCUGAAAUGAAAGGCUGGAUUCCUUACAAUAUGCAAGGCACUCUGACUGUCACAAAAUAUAGGAAUUUUCUAUUGUUUGUGCCUGAACUCCUCCAAUAACCUUUGUAUCCAAAUAGCUUCCUUGUAAGCUUGUGUAGCUGCCAUGUAUUCUGCUUCUAUUAUAGAUAAAGCCACAACAAUUUGCAGUUUUGAAACCCAGCUUACAGCUGCUUCCGCAAGUGUAAACACAUAGCUAGAAGUGGAUUUUCUUUUAUCAAGAUCUCCUGUAAAAUCUGAAUCCACGUAGCCCCUGACAGUAAACUCUGAUCCUCAAUAACAUAAUGCAACAUCGGAGGUUCCUCUGAUAUACCUUAGAAUCCUCUUCACAGCUAUCCAAUGUUCUCCACCAGAAUUCGCCAUGUAUCGACUGACUGCUCUCACUACUUGUGCAAUGUCUGAUCUUGUACAAAUCAUAACAAACAUUAAACUUCCCACUACUGAUGCAUACGGUACUCGAGACAUCUUCUUUCUCUCUACUUCAUUUCUAGGACACAUAAUUCAGAAUAACUUGAAAUUAAUAGGAAGUGGGGUAGAAAUUGACUUACAAUCUUGCAUCCCUAGAAUCUUGUUUGUUGGUCCUAAGUCCUUCAUUUCAAAUUCCUUAGACAAUUGUGCCUUCAAUUCUUGGACUCGAUCUUUGUUGGGGCCUAUUACCAACAUGUCAUCCACAUACAACAUCAAAAUAAUGAAAUCAUUGUCUUCAAAUCUUUUGUAAUAUGCACAAUGGUCUGAACUCAGUUUGUUGUAUCCAAGGCUCAUGAUGAAGGAAUCAAAUCUCUUAUACUAACCUGCAAACCAAGCUCUCUUUUCCCUUUUUUAGUAAAACCUUCUGGUUGGAGCAUAUAAAUUUCUUCUUCAAAUUCUCCAUAAAGAAAUGCAAUUUUCACAUCUAACUGCUCUAGAUGUAGGUCAAAUGUAGCACACAUCGCCAAAACUAUUCUGAUUGUCUUGAGUCGACCUACCGGAGAAAAUAUCUCAUUGAAGUCAAUAUCUUCUUUCUGAACAUAUCUUUUCAGCACCAAUCUUGCACAAUACCACUCCACUUGGUCAUUACCAUCAUGUUUGAUCUUGUAGACCUAUUUGUUUCCAAUGGCUUUCCUUCCAUGUGGUAGUGGUACAAGUUCCCAUGUCUUAUUCUUGUGUAGAGCUUCAACUUCUUCCUACAUUGCUGUCAUCCACAAAGCAACAUCUGAGCUGUUUAAAGUUUUAUGGAAAUUUGAUGGCUCUCCAUCCUCUGUUAGAAAACAGUAUGCAACAUUGAUCUCUGUGACAUACUUCGAGUGCCACAUUGGCGGCUGUCUCUCAUGAGUUGACCGACGAACUUCUGGAGCCUCGAACUCAACUAAUUCUUGUUCCUCGUGCUCUAAUGUUGUUUCAGAAGAAUCUGAAUCUUCUUUUUCCAGAUUAUUUUUCACAUACACUGGUACAAUCUCUAACUUUUCUUUUACAGUAUUAUCAUCCUCAUCUCUCAUUUGCAGUUGAUCUUCUACAAAGAUAACAUCUCUACUGAUAACGAUCUUAUGGGCAGUGAGGUCCCAAAAACGAUACCCUUUUACCCUAUCAACAUACCUUAAAAAGAUACACCUCCUAAAUUUUGGAUCUAGCUUUGUUCUUUCUUGGGCAUUGCACAUCAUGUACAUAGGACAUCCAAAUGCAUGUACGUAGGAGUAAUCAGCUGGCUUUCCAGUCCACAUCUCCAUCGCUGUCUUCAACCCAAUUGCUGUGGAUGGCGACCGAUUUAAUAUAUAACAAGCAGUUUUGGCUGCUUCUACCCAGAAUGAAUUGGAUAGACCAACAGUCCUCAAUAUAACUCUUAUCAUUUUUGUAAGAGUUAUAUUUAUCUGCUCUACUACUCCAUUUUGUUGAGGAGUGUAUACUACCAUGAACACGCCAUUUGUAUACUCUCCACCAUUAUUCGUCCUUAAGUACUUGAUCAUUUUACUAGAUUCAAGUUCCACCCGCACUUUGUAUUCUUUAAACACUAGAAAUACAUCUGACUUUUUCUUAAUUGGAUACACCCAAUAUCUCCUAAAAUAAUCAUCAAUGAAAGUCACCAUGUACUUUGCACCUCCUAUGAAUAUGUCUGGUGAUUCCCAAACAUCAGAGUGAACCAAGUCUAGAAUGCAUUUACUUCUAGCAAUAGAUCUACUGAACUUUACUCUAUACUGCUUACUUGUAACACAAUACUCGCAAAAUGGUAAGCUUACUGAUUUGAGCCCUGGAAGCAAUUUUCGCUCAGAGAGAAUUUUCAAACCUUGUUCUGACAUGUGGCCAAGUUUGAGAUGCCACAUCAUUGUUGAUUCUUCUCCAUUUGAUGCGACAUACACAUCAACCUCCUAUAGUGUUUGUCCUUUAAGUAUAAAUAAAUUAGUACCGAUCUUUUCUGCCUUCAUCAAUACAUGCACGCCUUUAACAAUCUUCACAAUUCCAUUCUCCACAUGAGUUUUGUACCCAUGACUAUCCAUUUGUCCCAAAGACAAUAGAUUUUUCUUCAGGCCAUUGACAUGUCGUACCUCCUCAAUUGUGCGAAUUGUACUAUCAAACAUUUUUAUUUUAAUAGUACUAAUACCAAGGACCUCCAAGGCAUGAUCAUUACCCAUAUAUACAGAUCCUCCUGAAAUAGGUUCAUAUAUAUGGAAUCAUUCUCUCCGAGAGGUCAUGUGCUAGGUAGCUUCUGAGUCUAUAAGCCAGACAUCAGAUAGUCGUUUUCUGCCUUCUGAAAUAGUUGUUGCCUCACUGUAGAGAAUUUCUCCAUCAUUCGAGGUACUUAUUACACAUCCUUGAGCAUUUGAUGACUCAGGUUCUUUGUCCUCUUUUCUCUUCUGGUUACUCCAAUACUCUUUCUUGACGUGCCUUUUCUUACCACAGUUGUAGCAUUUAACAUUCUUCUUACUUCUGAAUUUUGAUCUACCAUGAUUAUGACUCCCACUGGGGCCACGUUACAUUGAUAUCCCUCUCGUCACCGAUAGUGCCUCCGCUUGCUGCGAACUUAUUUUUCUGUUUUCCUUAUUUUUCCGCCUGCUUUCCUCAUUUAAUAUGGAGGGUGCAACAUCGUCAAAAACCAGACUGUCCGUUAGAUUGUUGUUCGUUAGGUUGAUGAUGAGUUAAUCAUACGAAUCUGGUAGACUUUGAAGUAGAAGUUCUACACGUUCAUUUUCCUCUAUAUUAUGACCCAAUAAUGUAAGUUGUGAAACUAGAGUCUUCAAGACGUUGAUAUGGUCAGUCACCGUUGUAGAUUCUGCCAUUCGAAGAAUAUAGAGUUUCCUCUUCAAGAAUAUUUUGUUGUGUAGUGACUUGGCCUUGUACAAUUUUGUGAGAGUAUCUCAUAUUUUCUUUGCUGUAUUUUUCUCUGCCACACUGGAUAAUACUCCAUCUGCAAGUGCCAAGUGUAGAUCAAAAAUGGCGUUGCCAUCUAUCUCGUUCCAUUUGUCAUCAGUUAUCUCCAUGGGCCUUUCUCCAAUUGUUGUCAAGCAAUUAUUUUUCCUCAAUACAACUUUCAUUUCCAUUUUCCACAACGAAAAAUUAUUUUUGUUAAACUUCUCAAUUUCAUACUUUACCGCCAUUUUAUUGAUAAAUAUUGUACACAGACUAGUGUAUCACCUCGAAUAGUUGUGAGUAUGUGUGAAUAUGCACACUAGGAAAGUUCCCAGGAAAGACUGGAGGGGUCACAAUGGUCCCACUUAAAACCUAGACUCCUUAGACUCUGAUCGCCUUUGUGACAGAACAUUCCUAGACAUGUACAAAACCACAUAGUUGCUUUACUCACACCACUAUUCCCUUCUUUGCACUGUAAAAUUCUUGGAUCGCUCCCCCCGUUUCUCGUAAACAAUACCAUAUAUAUAAUGAACAAUGUCGUAUACGUGAACAGUUCUUACGAAAACAGUACCUGACUCCAAAAAAUACAACUAAUAGCUCUUAUACCACUGUCAGGAAAUUGAUGGGUGAACCAGACACACAACUAAAGUGAAAUUGAGAAAUCAUCAGACAAAAUAAUCACACAAGGACACCAGAAAUUACAUGGUUCAACUUUUAGUCUACGUCCACAGGCGAAGAUAGAAAGAAAAUAUAUUUCACUAGUAAUAUGAGGAUUACAAGUAUUGUAAUAUUUUCACUCACUAUCCAGAACCCCAAUACACCCAAUCUCUCACUCACUAAUUACUUAAGAGUUUAUUAAAACUCUUAUUCUCUCACUCUACAAUUUCUUAACUUCUCUCUCUAAAUGGAAUUAAUGAGCUCUCCCUUAGCACUUCUAUUUAUAGGAAAUAUCAUGGCCAAAAAAAGGUCAUUAAUUGCAUCAAAAAUUCAAACAACACAGUUAGCAAUCAUGACUAAAUUUUAGCAAAUUUUCCUCCACCAGCUAAGUGCCAAAUUUGGUGCUUGUAAUGUCAAAAAGGGAUGUGGAAUUCUUGCUCUUCUAGGAAGAGUGGCCCACCUCAUUUGACACUAAAUAUCCUUGAAAACACCAUCAGCUUGUUAAGUCCUUUGAUCAAAGAAAUGGAUAGGUUAAACCAAGAGCUGGGGGACUCUAAUAAAAUAGAAGUGAUCAUUCAUUUGUUUCUUCAACAACGGAAGAAAGGGGGAGCCCUGGUUUCAAAGUACUCAAGCAUCCGUCGCUGGAACUUGUGCAAGAAGAGGAAAUACGAAAAAAGGCUUCAGAAUAUGGAUUCUUCUCUUUGUGAGCUUUCCGGAGUGCUUCAGGUUGGACAAGCGCUUGAUACCCAACGCCUUUAACGUAUACUACACGAGAUGUACCAUUAAAUAAGAGCGCCAGGCGCAUUUGCUUCAAUUGUGCGGAGCAAAUGCGUUACCACAGUCCAACUAGCGGGGUGUGUGGGCACUGAAACUAUAAUAAAACCAUACGAUGUUAGAAGAAAAAGAUAAAAUAAUCAGUUAAUACUCUAAUACCACAUUGUAUUACAACUUAUUUUGUUAUCGUUUUAUGAGCUUUUAGUCUUUAGUAGGUGGUUUUUCAAAUUAUUUUGUAAAAUUUCAUCUAUGUUUCUAUAAUUGUGCAAACUAAACACUUAUGAACUUUUUCUUGAUAGUUAUAGUUUUUAUUUCAUAUCAGUUAUAGCCUAAAAAUUAUGUCAUGCAUGUGCAUCAUUGAUAGGAUUCUUGAAAGAUCAUAUCUGCUACUGACUAUUCACACUUCAGUUAUUAGCUUCUUUUACUUUGUGCUUUUGCAAAAAUCUGCAAUUUUUUUUCGGUUAUUAGUUAAUAAAGCAUCUCAAACUUCAAAUUGGUAAUGAUACCAGAUCGUGAAGAGCUAGGUUUAAUGAUUUGAUCAUUGCAUAAUCUUGGAAAUUAAGUUAAACUUGCGGGCCAAUUUGAAUCAUGACUAGUUAACGACGGGGUUGAAACCUUGAAAGUAACGCUAAGUUUUAUAAUUUAUCUACGUCGCGUACAAGUAGCUACAUAAUUGUUUUGGCAUCUUUUCAAACCUCUUCUUGUUCUUUAACUUGUUUGACAAUAAGAUUCGAAAUAUUUAACUCAAUUCCCUUCCUAACUCCAUUUGUAUCCCAUUUAUGUGUGCUUGACCAGUUAAUAUUGAACACCAAAUUAAUAUAAUUAAAGGGUACCAGGCUUUUUUAGUCCGACAAUGAAAGAAUUAGGGGAGGUGCUUUCAACAAUUUUUUUGAAAACACCCAUUCAAAUCUUCAUUGACUGAAUAGUAAUCCUCAUACUUAAUAUGGGUGAGAUAGAUACAUCUCACUUAAUAUCAGUGAGAUAGAUACUGUUGGGGAAAAAUCAGGUUUUUAAAAUUUUAUAAAAUCUUUUAAGGACCACUCUCAUAUAAUAUAUAGGAAUACGUAAUCCAGAAAUCGUACCUUGAAAAUUCGAGUUGGCUUUUUUCGCUGAAGUGAAUUAGGCUCCUAGAUCACGAUCCGCCACCACCACGCUUGUUAGAUCACGAACUGUCACCAAUGAUCUUCCAGGUUAUGACUCAGGUUCGAUCUGCACUUGACGUGUGGGCGCCUUUAUCACUACCAAAGCAACUAGCACGAGAAAAUUUUUCUCUCAACAAUAGAGAGAAAAAUCUUAUUUUCUAAUCUGUAUAAAGUGGCUUCUCUUUUUUCUUUAGGGAAAAAUAAGCCUUUUAUAUCACCCUUUAGUGAAAACCCUAGGCUCCAAAUAAUCAAAAAACAAAACUUACGUUUAUUUGCUUUUUCAAUAGGGGACCCACCUUGUAAAAUAACAUAAGGCCCCUUAUACAAAAGCUAAUUAAAUGGAGCCUCCCACUAAAUGAUAUAUUUAGGCUUUUGACCUAAAUAGCUAGUUAUCUUACUUAUUAGUCUAGUAGUGGUGCAGUCAAUUAAAUGAGCUAACUCGGGGAUCAUUUGGGAACAUACAAUAGUGGCUACAAUAAUUAGGCCUGUAAUUAAACUAGCCCAAUUAUUUAAUUCCAAAUCUACUCCACUAAAAGAUUGGAACUGACUUUCAUAAUUGUAUGCUCGAAUAAUAAUUCGUCCCAAGCCACAUUGAUUUCUUUACUGUACAAUCCUUUGUACCACAUCGUUAAUUAAAUUGAUAUCUCAACUGUCCAAUCAAUUUAAUAACAUCUUAUUCCUUGAUCCUUACUGGUUUUCUCUAAUGAUCAUUUUCAACAUACUAAAUAUGUUGACACACUCUGGCCAGAGAAUUCUAUGAUCAAGUGCCGAAAACCCAUCAAGAGAUGUGUUGUACAAAUUCUAUAUUGUUAAUCCAUAACUCCAAUACUCAUAAUUGCUCCCACCAAGAUACCGGGUAAUCUUGACCACAAGGAUGUGUCGUGCCCAUUGGUAACUCAAAUGGAAUAACAAUUACAAUCAUGAAAUCAUAAUUAACUCAAAAUUAAGAUUACAGUAAAAUCAACGCCUAUGAGAUUUAAUAAGUCUGACAGUUAUUACAAAGUUAAUUAAAUCUCAUAUGUGAUCCUGUUCAAUGUAGUCGCACUACAUCAAUAAAUUCAUACAUGAUUAAGACAAAUCAUUCAAUGAAUUUAUUACAACCUAUACCUAAAUAAAGUGCCCAACUUUAUUUAUCAACUGCGAACUAAAUUUAUUUAAUCAUAAGAUAACUUGUAUUUAUGUCUUCUAUGAAUCCACAUGGUGAUCACAUAAAUACAUAUAAUAUGAUUAAAUGGACUUUAAUACAAAUAUUAAUGCAAUUAAGAUAUUUGAAUAAAAUACCUCAUUUAUUUUAUUAAUCAGAAAAAUUAUUUAUUACAAUUAAAUAAACACAUAUGCUUUUAAAGAGCAUAUUUUCCCAACAGAUACAUCUCCUAAAAAAUUAGUAGAAGGAUAGAUAGAUCUCCUUAAGUGCGAGGACAGAGUCGAAGAGUUAUCACCUUUAGUGGGUGUAGAUUUCUAAACUAUUCCUAGUAGACUCUAGCUAUUCAGUACACACCUUGUGUUGAGAUAGUGCACUCAGUUCUUUAAACAUCUUUUAAAAACUCAAACUAUGUUUUAACAGUAUUAGAUUCCGUUUUUUGAUGAUUCCUAUAUAUUCUAACCUUCGAUUGAAAAUCUAAAGCUACCAUUGGAAUCAAGAUGAAAAAUCGAGUCGGAAGGUGCCAGACCCGACGUCACCGGUGACAAAAAAAGGUGGUGCAUCGCACUGUAUCGAUACUGUAGCGAACUGUAGCAAGCACUGUAUUGCAUGGAAUGCACGCGCCUGACUGUUAGUGUGAUAUAAUGUAUUCAGAUUAAUAUUUUCAAUGUAUUUUGCUAUUCGGGAAUCUGAUUUGGACGUCGUUUGUACUGUUUGAUCCAAAAUUUAAUUUUCUAUUUAUUUUUAACUUAGAAUCAAAGUUUUUUAAUUUUGAAAUAAAAUUCGGAUCAAAUAUAUAUUAUUUCUUAGAUGAGCAUUAUACAUUAAUAAAUAUUUCGCUCUAGUGAGAGCUCGAAAAUAUUUCUUUCAUGGAAAGUGGCUGAAAUUUGAUUAUAUCUCGUGUUUUAGUCAUUUGUUAACAAUCGCUAAUAUGAAUUUUAUGUUAUUUGUCGUAGAUGGCUCUUGUUAGAAAAUUGUGGACUGAGGAAGAGGGAUUGAUGACAAUUAGAGCAUGGGUUUCACCUAUGGAUCCAAUUGAAACUAAUGAUGACUUAUCUCAUGAAGAAGCUAUGAAGAAAAUGAAAAAUUUUCCUAAGAUCAUGAAUCCUUGGAGCUGGGCCUGUCUGAUGGUAUAGCUAAGAGUAACCUUGAUUUAUUAUAUUGUUAUGGGAUUUUUACGGGCCUUGUUGGUGGUUUUUAUUGGGUUGUUUUACUGCUCUAUUGAGUGAUGUGACUAAAGAUGACAAAUAAAUCUGAAUCUAACCCACAUCCGCAAAGAGGUAGAUUUGGAAAAAUCUUGAUUCACAUAAUAAAUAAUGUGGACCUAGAUGUAACAAUUUAGGAUCCAUACGAAUUUGGAUGCACUUGCAUCCAAAAAAUUGAACAUUCAAUUUGUAUUUUUUAAAAAUAAAUUAAAUAAAAAUAAAAUCUAUAUAAGAGAACACAAACUCUAAGCUAAAAACUCAUUACACAUAAAUAUUGUAAUACACCCAAGUACCUAUAACUAUUAUUUUAGAAUAUUUUAGAUUUGUUUAGUAUUGGAUGAUUAUUAUUUAAAAAAAUAGUUAAAAUAUAGUAAAUUUACAUAUAAAUAUUUUUAAUGUGUGAACCUAGAUACCCGUAAUUAGGGGUGGCCAACUAUAGGUUCGAAUGAACACGAUUGAAUUUCAGGUUAAUCAGAUUGGGAAAAAUGCAACUCGAAUUUAACUCAAACAUAUAAUUUGACCUGAUCCGAUCUAAAAUAAAUUUAGAUUGGAUCGAGUCAGAUCGAUAAUUUAUGUUUGUUUGUGCUUUUAUUUCUUCAUAUUUUCAGAUUAAAUCAGGUGACCGAUCCAAUCAUGAUCGGGUAAGAUCGAUUUGGAUUAGGUCAUUUGUCCACCCCUACCCGUAAUAUCCGCCUAGAAUCUGCACGAGCAUUACCCUCAUCCGAAUCCAUAAUAAAUAAUACAGAUUCAAAUGUAGAUUCGGAUCCAAAUUUUACUAUCCCUAGACGUGGCUUUGUUUAAGGUAGAAACUGUGGUUGUGAUUUAUGUUAUUGAGAGGCUCUUGCGCGUUGUUGGCAUUCUUUGUGGAUUGAGUGUGAUUUUUCGUCCCAUUAAAUUUAUUAAAAAAUAGGCUUAAAAUAGAAAAUGAGAAAGAUAAUGAAAAAAUGUCCCCACCCACCUAUUAUCAUCCCUCCGUACUAUUAGGUUAUUUUUUCUAUUACUUUGAUUAACAAGUUGGCUUAAUUUAUUAAAUGAUGUUCAUAUAAUGACAAAUUGGGAAUAUUUCUCACAAAUGAAAAUAUAGGUUGGAUAAGAUGGGUUCCAAGAAGCAAUUCUAAUUUGACACAAGUGUUAGCAAUCUAUGCUGCGUUUACUUUUUGGAUUGGAGUGGAAAUCCUGAGAAGUGGGAAUCCUUGGAUUAGGAGUGUGGAGUGGGAGUGGGAGUAGGGUGUUUACUUAGUCUAAAUGAAAGUAUGGAUUGUCAAUCAGGAUCCUAAUUAUUUGUUUAUUUUGUCUUGGAUUGUGAGUAAAUUGUUUUAAAUUACAAUUUUAUCCUUAUGUACAGAAUUAUAAUUUGUAAUUAAAAAAUUAAUAAAAAUAUAUUUAGAAAAUAAAAUAAAUAUUUUAUUAUAUUUAUAAAUUAAUAAUAAUUACUAAUAUUCUUAAUUAUGUAAAUCAUAAUUUUUUAUUAAUUUUAAUUUAAAUUAUGUGAAUAAAAAUUAUUAAUAAUAGCAACACAAAUGAAAUAUUAUUAUUGAUAAUAUAGUACAAAAUUAAUAUUUUUUUAGAAUAAAAUAUUUAUUAUUAUUAUUAAAUAAAUAAUUAAUUAAUAUUUAUUAAAAUUAAUGUUUAAUAUUAUUAAUUUAAAUAUAAUAUUUAUUUAUUUUAAUUUUAUUAAAUUUAAUAAAAUAAAUAUGAUAUAAUUAUUAUUUUUAAUAAAUAUGAUAUUAUUUAUUUUAUUAAAUAUUAUUUAUUUAUUUAUUUUUAUAAGGAUAAAAUAGGAAGAGGGGGGAGUGGAUUCCCACUCCCACCUCCCCCCAUGGGAGUGGGAAUCCCACUUCCCACUCCAAAAUUGAGUGGGACUCACGGAUUCUCACUCUCACUCCCCCCUUUUUUAAGGUAAGUAAACACUGGAGUGGGAGGAAUCUACACUCCACACUCUCACUCUAGAAAGUAAACACUACCCUAGUUGAUUUGACACCACAAAAGAGAAUUAGAUAGGGAAUUUUCCUAAGUUACAUUUGUUGUAACUUAUAAUUCAAUUAAAACAUGCAAAAAUAAGUAACGUGAGAGAUGGGGCUUGUAGACCAGUGUGUGGUCUUUACAUUUGUUUUAACUAGAAUGUAUGUUACAACAAAUGUAACGUAGUAGGACCCAUAGAUAGGACAUAUAGUUAGUCACACGUUAACACUGAAUCAUACGAUCAUAUCAUAUCACGCACAAGGACAAACUGCAGUUGAUCUACUUUACCAAAGAUAUUAUUGUAUUUGAGGAGAGCAUGUGAAUGUAAAUAUAGCUAUGUGAAUAUUGCAAGAAUUUCUUAAUAAAAAGACCUUGCACUUUUCAAAUUUGUGAAAAUAUCCCAUCUGAAUUUUAAAACUUUGAAAAUGCCCCAUAAAAUUUUGGAAAGUUCUGAUUUCCCUUCUCCAAAAAUCCCAACGCUCUACAAUUUGAUUCGUUAUUUUGAAUUUAUAAAAAUGGAUUAUUCAUUAAGAUAAUUAAUAACUCACAAUAAAUAAAUCAAAAGGAGACAUUCUCUUCUUUUUGUUUUUUUUUUUGUAAUUUUUUAAAAAAAGAUUGAGAGUAGACAAAGACCAAAUAAUUUUUUUUUAAUGUUUGCCUUCAAAUUCAAGCAAUCAAUAAAAUAAAAAUGUUUUUAAAUGACUAAAACAGUUCCUUGAGGCCUAUUUUCAGUGCUUCUUCUUCAAAAACAAACAGCUAAUAAAUCAUGCAUCAUUUUGAAAACAUGAAAUCAGCUAUAACAAUUGUAAUGAGUAGAAAUAUAGUAAAUGAAUAUUAUAGUUGUAGUCAUAGGCGGUGCCACGCACCCUAACUUUUUAAAAUUUACAAAUUUAAUUUAAUAUUUACCUUAUUUACCAUAAAAGUCCCUAUUAAAAUUAAAAAAUAAUCAAAAUAUUAAGUAUUUAUGUUUAACUUUCAACCCACAAAGAAAUUGUUAUUUUGAGAUUCGUUGCACGCUAACUCUCCUCACACAAAAAAAAAAUAGAAAUUAUUUUAUCUUAUUGAAUUUAUCAAAAUGAUUUUUCUUCAAUGAAUCUUAUGAUACUUAAAAUUUAAUUUGAUGUUUAUAUUACAUAGGUGGGUUCUAAUAACAAAUUUUCAAAAUUGAAAGAGAUUGAUAGGCUAAUAAGAAAAAUAGUUCAUACUAAAAAAGAUAAAUUGUAUUCAUGAAUUUGUUUAUUGAUAACAUUAGCAUUGAUUUACUAGUUGUCAUGACUACAGUAGUAAAAGACAUUUUCAACUAUGAAUUUUGUGAAAAAUCGUUUGUGAAAUCAGAUUAGAGAUUAAUAAUUGAGUAAUGUUAUUAUUACACAUGUAGAAAAAAAUUUAUUUUGUAUUCUUGAUGAUAAAUUUAUUUUUUUACAUUUUUAACAUAUGAAAACACGUCGAUAUCAAUUACAAAUGUAUUGAAUAUAUUAGUGAAUUUUUAUUUUUGAUACUUGUUAUUUAUUGACCUUUUUUAAAUUACAAUAUUAUUUAAACUUAGUCCCUGCUAAGUUUAAUUUUUGGCACCGCCACUGGUUUUAGUCAUAUUUAUUAUUUCUAAAUCUUGAAAAUUGUAUCAAAUUUUGUGACCAUGUCCCUGAUUGUGAUUAUCUACAACUUUUGCUACAGUUUUUAAUUUUAUAUUCCAGGACCUUGAAUUAGAAGACAUAACAAUCUUCGGAUACUUCGAUGUGUCAAAAAGGAAUGCAUUUACAACGUAACAUAUAUAUAAUCAUCACGAUCUUCAGUUCAGUAAAGCAAGUUACCGGCACUUUAAACUUGCAAAACUAUCAGCAUUCCCUACUGCUGCUUGGCUCAUUAUGUUAAUUGUUUUGCUUAUUUUCAGAUCAAAUGAUUCUAUGGUCUGGGAACACUAAUAAUGGCACUUUGUUAAAUAAAUGACUGGGUUUUACGAUAUUAAUCCACCUGCAUGUGCGUACCCUAAAUAAUUAACAAAAAUGGAUUGAAAACUAAAGAUGGUGAAUUGAAAACUAAAGCACAGAGGACAAAGAUCAAAAUAAGAGAGUUGAAACGGGCCAUUAAUGUGGGUUAAUGUGGAACAAAUUUAGAUAUAUACUAUAAUUUUGAGGAUGAGUUUAAGUUAACAAAUUAGUACACGGGAUAAUGAGUAUCAGUAGUAAUAUAUAUAUGGCUCUGAGAAAGGAAAGGCGUGAGGGUAAAGUACUAAGUUUAAUUAGCUGGUAGCUCAAGUUGACAAUUUUAAAAUUUUGGAAAAUUAUAAUUUGGGUUAGGUUCAUAUGCACUAUGCAGCCGGCGGCCAAUAAUGUAGCUAGUAAGAACUGGAUUAAUUGCAUCCAUGCUUGCAGGAUAAUUCUCCUAUUGCUGCCGGCAAAUUCCUAGAAUUUUCAAACAUAUCAACAAUUAAAACUCAUUUUUGCUCCUUUCAUUGAGUCAAUUGAUAAGAUCUUUUGGAUUUUUUUGGAACAUUGCAUGCAUGUUGUAAGACAUUGUGUAACUAGUUGUCACAAGAUGAGUGUAAUGCACAGCAACCCUAUAUGGCAUUUAGACAACUUUUAGUACAAAAGUUGCUAAAUAAGCCUUUCGAUUAGGGAUGGCAAAAGUCGGGUUCGGGUCCGGAUUUGGCCUUCCCAGUUCCAGUUCCAGACCCAGAUACCGUUUUCAUUAUACCGGACCCGGAUGUUAACUUGGUUUUCUUGCAUCUGGGUUCGGUCCAGGUUAAGCCUGAAAAAAUCCGAGUUUUCAGAUUUUGGGUUUUGAACCCGGAUCAAUAAGAGUAGUUUGAAAAAGAAAAAAAAAAAAGAGUUUUAUCCCAUCACAUGAACCAGAAAAUUUAAGAAUUAACAUGAUAUACAAAGUCAUAAAAUUGAAAAUCCAUCAUGUUUGUCAAUCACAUACUUAUUCGAAGUCAAAAAAAUGCCAUCCAAAAAGAAAAAAAAAGUCGAAAAAAUGAGUAAUUGCAAAAGCUUUUGAAGUAGGAAAAGUUUUCCAACAGGAGAAACACAUAAGACAGCACAUGAGGAAGAAAGUAUAACUCUUUCAUUUUUUUCCCAAUCUGAGUAGUUUUGCGGGCAAUUUCGCAAAUCAGUUCAAUUUCGCAAGUCGGUCGUAAUCGACUUUGCCGUAUCAGUGUUGUUUUCUCCACAAGUUGAUGAAGAUGCGUCUUCAACCACAUCAUGGCUUGAAAUGCGGCAACUAACGAUGAUGAUGAUGAUGAAAAGAGCUGCGACAAUAGCAAAGAACAUUGAUUUGAGUUGAUGAGGAGAUGAUUUGAAGAGAAAGAAAAUGGUUCGCUCUGAUUUUGGGCUACGGUGGCUGCGAUAUACGAGUGAAAUUAGGGCACUUGUGUGUUGUGUGUGUGUUUUUCUAAUGUUACUAUUUAUAUUAAAUAUAAUUAAAAAUAAUAAAAAUAAUAUAUCCGGGUCUGGGUUCCGGAUAUGCGGGUUAAAUCAAACCCGCAUUCGGACCCAGAUAUAUCCGGGUUAAGAAAAAUAAUUCCGGAUCUGGAUUUUAUUGCACUCUGGUAUGGGUUAAACCCGGACCGAAUUGUUCAGGUUCGUCCGAGUCCGGGCCGAGUCUGGAAAAAACUGUCAUCCCUACUUUCGAUCUUCUCAAACUAGCAAAGAAAUGAUACUUGUGGAAAUGCUAGAGAGAAGAGAGAGUAAUAUGACUAAAUAUAAUUUUAUUACUCAUUAAAGAGGAAAAAGAGAGCUUUUUGCAAGAGAGCUUGUGUGUUGUGUGUGUGUGCUGGUGUGGUGGUGUGUGUUGUUGCGCAAAAUGGUGAGUGCUCACCCCUAUUUAUAGAGUUGGGUGCUAACUCAUGAAGCUUCCUAUCAAGUGGGAGUAACUUGCCUAAAUAUCUAGUUAGGGACUAAAGUACAAAAGUGUAAAAACUUCUAGUAAUUUACAAAUUGUUAGAGAAUUUUAAAAUUCAGGCCGAGCAUGAUUAUUUACUAAGUGCACUACGGCUAAUUAGUUGUAAAAAGUGGCCCAUUGUUGAGCGCACUCUACUGCAUAGUGCAUCUUGCAUGCUUUUAUUGAGCGUACCCGCACACGCCAAUUUAGCCCCAUGACAAGGUUCCUUUAAUAUGGCUGGAUAUUUAUUGGGCUAGACAUAUAUGUUCGAUUUGUGAGUAUAAUAAAGAGUUGGACUAUUGGCACCCCUUGAUUAAUCUUAUAAAACCUCUGUUAUAUUACAAUUACUUUUAAGGACAAAUUUAACUAGAAUUAAACCAUUUAUAUUUUCUUUCUCUCCUUAUUUUUAUUUUGCUUACACAAUAUAAAAGUUUUUAUUAUCAUUAAAAAAAUUUGAAUUUGAGAAUUAAUCUUCUAAGCCAAAACAAAAUUUACAGGUUGGAUAAAAUUGUAUUAAACCCAUAAAAUAUUUAUUAUUUUCUAAGUAUAAUAUUUUUCUUAUUUUUUCUUUAAAAAUUAAAUAAUAAAGAAAGUUUGAAGAGAUGAAUAUAGAUAUUAAGAUUGAAAGAGUGAGAAAGUUAUUAAAAACUGAAAAAUUCAUAAAUAAAAAGAGUGUUUAUUAAAAAAAUAUUUUUAGUAUUCCAUAUAGGGUAUUUUAUAACAUUUUUUAUAACUUUUUCACUGAGUACUGUAAUAAACUUAUCAUAAAGGUUAAAAAUAUAGUGGGGAAAACAUCAUUAUCGUCAUCACUCAUUGUAGUUUUCUUCAACUGGAAAAAGUGUGUGUGAGAAUUUUGUAUACUACGUGGCAUUACAUAAUUCAAUUAGAUUGGAUUAAUAGAUGUGAAGAGUUGGAUUAGGUUCUUUCUUGUAAUGAUGAUUACGAUAAAACGGCACAUAAUACUUGACUGUAGAAAAUUUUGAUAGAAUUAGUCGUUGUUAUUUAACUAAGACUGUAAUCCCACUCAAUGAUUUAAUGAUAAAACCUCCCUUCAGAUUCAUUUAAGUAGCAUUCAAGUCUGCCAGUGUGAAUUAUGUGCUUGAUUUACCUUCAAAAAUUUAAAAAUAUAACAAAUAAUGCACUUGAACUACGCUUACACUAUCAUAACUUUAGAUUCCUGUUUGAUAAAAGAUAAAAAUAAAAUAAAAUACAAUUAAUAUCCAACACAUUAUAAAAAAUAAUUAGUGAUAUAUCAGUUACAACGGCACACACUAUGUAACUUACAAAAAGUAAGUAGCUCUAAAAAUUUCAAUUUUCGGGCCUCUAAGGGCCCAGCCUUAAAAAUAUUUGCGCACCUGCUGAAAACAUAAUGAAAAACAUUAAAAAAUCAAAACGAACAUUCACCAUUCUGGAAGUUGGAGUUUGUCAAUGAAAUUUUUAGAUAAUAUAAUAAUACACAAAUAGAUUGCCAUGACUCAGUAUUAAAAAACAAUAUGUUGAUGUAAGCAAAUGAAGAAGAAAAUGUACUGAGAUGACAAGUUUCCUCAGUUUUUACAGAGUCACAGAUGAACAAUUGAAGAAUUGGCAAGCCUUCGUUGAUCUGCUCCGAGCAGGGAAAACAAGGCCGGUUCAAUAAAUCCUCAUCUAUAAAUAGGGUUGCUAACCUUGCAACAUUUCUCACCUCGCACUAAACCAAUAAGAAUAAGUUCAGAGAUUAAACAGAGUGAGAUCCCAAAGCUAGCUAGCUAAUUAAACACAAUGAGAAAUGUUCAAUUUCUUACAGGUUUUGCUCUCUUGAUUUUGGCUUCUUCAUUGGCCUCUGCCUUUGACCCUAGUCCUCUUCAGGAUAUCUGUGUAGCCAUUGAUGAGCCCAAGAACGCAGGUAUAUUUUUUACACUUUAAUUUUCUGUCCUAAAAAAUCUUUUAAACUUGUUUAUGUAUACGUGUACGUUGAUCUCAAAUUCACCUUACUAAUUAAUAUUCUGAAUUCUUGGACGCAGUCUUUGUCAACGGGAAGUUCUGCAAGGACCCCAAGCUUGCCAGGACAGGAGAUUUCUUCUUAUCAGGGCUAGACAAGCCUGGAAACACAGCAAACCGACUUGGCUUCAGUGUAAAAAAUGCAAAUGUUGACCAAAUUCCAGGACUCAACACUCUCGGAAUAUCAGCAGUCCGUAUUGACUAUGCACCCUAUGGCCAAAACCCUCCUCACACUCACCCUCGUGCCACUGAAAUCCUGACGGUUUUGGAAGGAACACUUUAUGUUGGUUUUGUGACAUCAAACCAGCUAAACAACACACUCAUUGCAAAAGUUCUGAAAAAGGGAGAUGUUUUCGUGUUUCCAAUUGGUUUGAUUCACUUCCAGUUCAACAUUGGAAAAACAAAUGCAGUUGCCAUCGCCGCUCUAAGCAGCCAGAAUCCUGGUGUCAUUACCGUUGCAAACUCGGUCUUCGGAGCCAAUCCUCCAAUCAAUCCUGAUUUUCUUGCCAAGGCAUUCCAGUUGGACGUAGAUGCGGUGAAAGAUCUUGAGGCUAAGUUCUAAAUGUGCAGCUUAUUUGAAUAAUCUUGCCAUUUAUUCAUGUUUCUCGUUCUAAUUAUUGUCAUUAUCAGUUGAUUUUGAUGUAAUAAAGAGAUUCGUACAUUUGUACCUCUCUCAAGUCAGCUUUGUUUGGUUUCCUAAUUAACCCUUAAUUAAAUAAUGUAUUUUUCAUUCAAUGUGAUCAAUGGUCUCUUAUCUGAUCUCGGAUUAUUAUUAUUAUUAUUAUUUUGACGGGGGGCCACAGAUAAUUGUUCUUAGCUGUGUCGACCUAGAGGGCCCUUAUCGGGGGAGGUUUUCAAAUUAUAUAUGGACUAAUCUGAAGGAUUCUCAAAAGGUCUCACAAAAGACGUAGUUAUAUAAAGUUCUGGGUUAUGCUAAAAGACAAGAUAUUCAAUAAGUAAGUCAAAUCUACGCUGGCUAACAUGUUACACGCACCUGAGAAUCGUUCAUUAUGAUUUUGAGCAUUAUGAAACAUCUGACUACAUGACAGGCCAAAAUGAAGAUCACCCAUGAAAAUUACUGCACAAACCAUCCAGAACUGCAAUUGCUUUCAGAUUGAAGCUAAUAAAGUUUGUACACAUUAACCCUCUCAUGUAUUAUCACUUUCGACAAACUCCUAACUAGGCAACUUGGCCGGUGACCUAAAACCUGUGCAGACCAAAACAACUACGGACAUGAACACGGUGAUUGGUGAACAUGUAGACUGAUAGAAAGAUUCACGUCUAGCCAAUAGAUGUGUUCGCACUUGCGAACUCUCAAUUAUUGGUUACCAGAGUCUCAAAUUUAGGGCUAAUCAAGGAUUCAACAAGUUGAGAUGCAUUCAAGAGCAUGUCAUCCUUGCACAUCUUAGAAAUCACAGUUCUCCACGUAUCAAAAUCAAUAUCGUUCCCCCUAAUCAGGGUAUUCAAAACUGUCCACAGAUCCUCCACAUUCCCUAUCUCACACAGCUGACCAAUAAAUAAAUUUAUACGAGCAGAACGAGGUACAAAACCCUUAAAAAUCAUCUCAUUCAAAAUUAAAGCAGCUUCCCUGAACUGCGUCCCAUCGCAUAGCCCAUCAAAAAGUAUCCUAUAGGACACAACAUCAGGAUUGCAGCCCUGUCUAGGCAUAUCCUCAAACAAAUCUUUUGCUUCACUGCAUUUUCCGUCCUUACACAGCCCCCCAAGAAUCACAUUAUAACUAAUAGGAUUUGCCUUACAGCCUUUGUCCCCCAUUUCAUCCAAAAUUUUAAAUGCUGCUUCAAAAUCCUUCUCUUUACAAAACCCACUGAUCAAUGCAUUAUAUGUUACAGAAUUCGGUUUGCACCCACGCUCCUUCAUUUCCUUUAAAAUCGCAGGAAAUUCAUUCUUCCUUCCCGCCUUAAAAAGCGCACUGAUCAAUGAAGAAUAUAUACCUACAUCCAUUUCAAUCUUAUCUCUCACCAUCUCUUCUUUAACCCCAAGUGCCAAACUCAACUCACCAACCGCACAAAGCCCUUUUAUCAAUGACGCAAAGAAUUGUCCGUCAGGCUUCACAUUAUACACUCUCAUCAUAUCCUCCUUCAACUUUAAUGCCUCAUCUACCCUCAACCCCAAACAAAGACCAUAAAGUAACGUCCCAAAUGUCACCAGUGUUGGCUGCAGUCUUCUUUUAAGCAUUUCUUCAAACAACUUCCACGCGUCCUCUAAUCUCCGACUUACAACACAACCGUGUAUCAAAAUAUUAUAACUACAAGAAUCUGGGCUAACAUAUUUCUCCAUAAUUUGAAACAACUCCUUCAUUCUAUCAAGCUUUCCGCACGUUAACUUUGGAUUCAACAACGUGUUGAAAGAUUGACCGUCAUUUGAACAUUAAAACUCGACAUUUCAUCAAACAUUUGGAAUGCGUGUUCGAGUAAUCGCGCACGUCCAUAAAAGCUGAUAACAUUGCAGAAAAUUAUUUCCUUGGGAACGACGCGAGUGUCGUGCUUGAGCUGGUGAAGGAUUUGCUGCAUUUCGUAAAACAUCUUGGCUCGGCCAAGCUUGGUGAUGAUAAGGUCAUAGUGAAGGAGAUUGUAGCGAAAGGGUUUUAAUGGAUGGGCUUCAGAGUCAUUGGGGUUAGGAUUAGGGUUUUUGAAGAGUUGCAGAGCGAGUUUCGGGUCUUUUUGGAGGCGAAGAAGAGAAGCAAGCCUGAAGGGAGACGUGGGUUUUGCUUUAUUAAUAUGGAAAAUGAUGUUUGCCCCGAGUCAAACGAUACCGUUUCGGCUCUUAAUUUUUUUUUGUUUUCAAGCGCUAUUGAACGAGGAUGUUUUUGUUUCAAUUUUGUUAUUUGUUUUGAUUUGCUUUCAACGAAGUUAUUUUGGUUUGCAAAUGGCAGCUUUCUUCUUCCCCUUUCUUUAACCCAGCUGAACCCUUGCUUCUUCCUUUUUUUCGUUCUCUUAACGACAUUGUUUCUGCUUGAAUUUUUUUUUGUUUGUUCUGAUUUGUUGUGAACGAAGUCGUUUUAGUUUGCAAAUAGCAGUCUUCUUCUUCCUCUUUGUUUAGUCCAGUUGAAACAAGUAAUUAAUUAAUCUUCUUCUCUCUUUUUUCUUGAUAAUGGGUGUUGCUAUGCAUUAUUUCUUCAUUAUUAUUAAUAGUCUAUUUGUUGAAAUUAUUAUGGUUAUGAAUUUGGUUGAGAGGGCGGUGAGUUUGAGGGUCAAGGCCAUGGUUAAGUAACUUCUGCUUGAUGUGUGUAUUCCAAUAAUUCUUUAUUUUAUUAUCUGUGCUUCCUAGUAAUAUUCCAGCUAUCAUCGAUCACUUGCACAUUACACAAAUUCAAAACACCCCCCACCCAAAAAAAAAGUUUUUUUAGAUCUAAUAAGAAAUAAUGCAUAGCAGCACCCAUUAUCAAGAAAUUCUCGACUUAGAGCUAUCCAUUGGACUUGCUUCUUCUGAAUCUGUGGACUCAAGACCACUGCAGCAACGACAACAGCUACAGCAGCAGAAGCAAGUUGUUGGUUACAACAAGUUUUUUGAAGUGAAGCAAGUAGUUUGUUUGUGUUGACAACUGGGUUUUGGGAGAAGUGUACUAUGUAAGAAUUGUACUCAAAAUUCUAGUGUGGUGAAACGAAGAGGAAGAGAAAGCAGAUGGGUUCUGGACUUCUGGCAUUGCUUUUGCCUUAAGCGUGAGAAUUUUGCCUUUUGAAAAACGGCGUCGUUUUAUUAAGAAUGAAAACAAAAACAAAAUAAUAGAUGAAACGGCGUUGUUUUAGAGAUCUUUCGAGGUUUGACCCGGGGCAAACAUCAGUGUUAUUAUUAAUAUAGUUUUGUUUGAUAGGGCUACUGACAUUUGAAAACGCGGUUAAUUAUUUUUGACCGAUUGUUUAGUCAUAUGUUUUAAAUUUUUAUUCAUCGAUCACAAAGUUUGAGGGAACUCUAUGUCACAAAUAUCACAUUUUCCUUAUGCGUAGUUAGGAUAAUAACUUUCUUUUCAAAAAUUUGUGUUCACAUAAUCUUGAUUUUCUUAUACCCACAUAAUCUUGAUUUUUGAAAAACAAAUUCUUAAUUUCCUUAUAUUGAUUUUCUUAAAUAUUAGAGUAUAAUCAUCCAUCUUCAUCAAAUUUUAAUAUUUUAAAAUAUUAGUAAUGUUGAGAUAUAUUUUAAAAUAUUAUUAAUAUUGAGAUAUUAGGAAAAACUAACUAUAGAUAUUUUUUCUAAUAAAUUCUUAGAGCUUAACGAUAUGUUCUUAGAAGAUUGUUGGAAAAUUAUUAAAAUUCUAAUAUGCAGAAGAGAUAUCGAUCUAAGUAGUUAAUACUAGAAUGCCUCUUCGCUUAUGGUGCGUUUACUCCAUGGAAUGAGAAUGAGGUGGAAUGAGAAUGGGCUGAGAAUUGGAAUUGGCUGGAAUGAGAGUUAGAUUUCAAUGUUUACUUGGUAAAAGUAAAUAGGAAUGAGAAUGUGCUAGAAUGUCAUUGAUGUAUUUACUUAGCAAAAUAAAUGG